CAAUAGCGUAUACUAAAGUUGUUGCAGUUAAAAAGCUCGUAGUUGGAUUUCUGGCUCGGCAAGCCUAGCCCGAGGACCUGGUGUCCUUGUGAGCUGGCGCUUGUCGGCCAUCCUUCAGGGGAGUGUUUCUGCCCUUGAUUGGGUUGGGGACAGGAUCCUGAUCGUUUACUUUGAAAAAAUUAGAGUGUUCAAAGCAGGCGUGUGCUGUGAAUACAUUAGCAUGGAAUAAUAAGAUAGGACUUCGGCCCUAUUUUGUUGGUUCUGGAGCUGAGGUAAUGAUUGAUAGGGAUAGUUGGGGGUGCUCGUAUUCAACGGCCAGAGGUGAAAUUCUUGGAUUCGUUGAAGACGAACUUAUGCGAAAGCAUUCACCAAGGAUGUCUUCUUUAA
rnacentral:rRNA from 1 species